rnacentral:rRNA from 1 species
CCUACUGGUGGCAGCAGUGAGGAAUAUUGGUCAAUGUGCGCGAGCCUGAACCAGCCAAGUCGCGUGAGGGAAGACGGUCCUAUGGAUUGUAAACCUCUUUUGUCGGGGAGCAAAAGACGCCACGCGUGGCGUUCCGAGAGUACCCGAAGAAAAAGCCUCGGCUAACUCCGUGCCAGCCGCCGCGGUAAUACGGAGGAUGCGAGCGUUCUCCGGAUUUAUUGGGGUGAAAGGGUGCGUAGGCGGUCGGAUAAGUUAGAGGUGAAAUCCCGAGGCUAAACGUCGGAAUUGCCUGUGAUACUGUUCGGCUAGAGAGUAGUUGCGGUAGGCGGAAUGUAUGGUGUAGCGGUGAAAUGCUUAGAGAUCAUACAGAACACCGAUUGCGAAGGCAGCUUACCAAGCUACUUCUGACGUUGAGGCACGAAAGCGUGGGGAGCAAACAGGAUUAGAUACCCGGGUAGUC